AGAAGUAAAAGUCGUAACAAGGUUUCCGUAGGUGAACCUGCGGAAGGAUCAUUAUCGAAAUACUUAUCUAGCGUUCCGUGCUAUCCCAUUGUUUUAUUUACCCUGUUGCUUCCACUGGAUGAGUUUCCAUACCUUGUGUUUGAGAAACUUUGGCUUGUGUAAGAUUCAUUCACGGCCAGCCAGUGAGAAGACCAUUUACAAAACCCUGUUAAGAACCAAUUGUCUGAAUAUUUUACUCCAAUGAAAUAAAACUUUCAACAACGGAUCUCUAGGCUCUU
rnacentral:misc_RNA from 1 species